GUAGGUGGCAAGCGUUGUCCGGAAUUAUUGGGCGUAAAGCGCGCGCAGGCGGUUCUUUAAGUCUGAUGUGAAAGCCCACGGCUCAACCGUGGAGGGUCAUUGGAAACUGGAGAACUUGAGUACAGAAGAGGAAAGCGGAAUUCCCCGUGUAGCGGUGAAAUGCGUAGAGAUGUGGAGGAACACCAGUGGCGAAGGCGGCUUUCUGGUCUGUAACUGACGCUGAGGCGCGAAAGCGUGGGGAGCAAACAGGAUUAGAUACCCUGGUAGUCCACGCCGUAAACGAUGAGUGCUAAGUGUUAGGGGGUUUCCGCCCCCCUUAGUGCUGCAGCUAACGCAUUAAGCACUCCGCCUGGGAGUACGGCCGCAAGGCUG
rnacentral:rRNA from 1 species